AUGAGGAAACAGGCCGAGAGAACUUCCCUCUCUUGCCCAGUUGACACCAUCAAAAGUGAUGGACCAGGGACCAGGGCCACACCCUGCUGGGACUCCUGCUCCCCUGGCCACUGGGAGAGUUGAUCCUGGCUCCAGGCCCAGGUGCCCCAAGCAGACUAUGACCAUAACGUACUGGAACUUCAACCAAGGCCAAGGCCAAGGCCAGUGCUUGGUCUUCUUCCUGACAUUUUUUAUGUUGAAGUAGGGAAAUAGCCUUGGAUCUUAGGCACAAUUAUGUAUCGGACAUCCCAGAUUUGGGAAUUCCUUUCUCUCCUUUUCCCUCUCCUUCCCUGCAAGACACAGUGAUGAUGUGGCAUUUCUGCCCUCCAUGGGCCCAUGGGGCAGUAACAGGCAUGAAUAACAGCGGCUGACUGUUCCCGGCUGUGCCAAGCGCCUAUAUGUGCAUUUCAUGAAUCCUUCACAACGAUCCCAUGAAAUUGGUUCUAUUAUUAUCAGGCCUAAUUUGGGUGUGGGAUAACUUGCACACACAGGGAGAAAGGAACUGAAUGCUGGUGGUGUGACCAGGAAGGCCAUGCUCCCUACAGCCUGCCUGUGGCCUGUCACAUAAGGACAAGGGGAAGGCACAUCUGAGGCUGCCUUGGAGUCAGGAGGUUCCAUCUAGAAGACAAGGAGCAAGGUCUCAGGCUGCUGAGCCAGGGAAGGCUGUCCUGGCAGAGCAGGCAGGGAGGGGAGUGUGGGUGUGUUCAUGAAGUGAGGGACGUCAUGGUGGCCACUCAUCUUCAAGGUUUAUUGUCCCCUGAGGUCAUGGCACCAGACUGAGUGUCCAGCUUUAUCCUGCAGGAAUUUUAACACAAUCCAGCUCCUGAAGUCUGAGGGCGGUGCUGGACCACGGGGAGCGCACAGAGGAGUCCUUGUCCUAUCUGGAACACGGCCUGCUCCCGUGGCCACCUCUUCCAGCUCAGCAUGGCAGAGUGACCCCCGUGAGGCUUGGCAGAGCAGGCGGCAGGCAGGACAAGGCGCAAGCUGAGCCCAGCGGGAGACAGACUGCAGCUCACCCGCUGGCCUGCGCUGGCAGGGCUUCCAUUCUCAGAGAGUGGAAGGCGACGGGUGCAGCGUGGAACACGGGCAAGCUGGGGUUCCUCAUAGCUGGGGGUGCCCGACCCACCCAGCAGUGUGUAGGACGGCUUCUCAGAGGAGUCCCAAGAAACCCUGCAGGGGCCACGUGCGGCAGAGCGCUGAGCUGAAGAACAAAGGGCCUAGGUCUCUGGCCAGCGUCAAGCCCCCCUCAUCACACCCUGGCCAGACGUGACCAUGAGGUGAGGUGAGCUGGAGAAGCCCUCAGCGUCAAGGAUGUGCAGGUCCAAAGACGAGCUUCCCAGAUGCACCCAGGCCUGGGGGGACGGCAUGGGGCUGACGGGAGGGUUGCUGUGCAGAUCAGGGAGAGCGUGGGAAACCCUG
rnacentral:lncRNA from 1 species